GACGAACGCUGGCGGCGUGCUUAACACAUGCAAGUCGAACGGAAAGGCCCUGCUUUUGUGGGGUGCUCGAGUGGCGAACGGGUGAGUAACACGUGAGUAACCUGCCCUUGACUUUGGGAUAACUUCAGGAAACUGGGGCUAAUACCGGAUAGGAGCUCCUGCUGCAAGGUGGGGGUUGGAAAGUUUCGGCGGUUGGGGAUGGACUCGCGGCUUAUCAGCUUGUUGGUGGGGUAGUGGCUUACCAAGGCUUUGACGGGUAGCCGGCCUGAGAGGGUGACCGGCCACAUUGGGACUGAGAUACGGCCCAGACUCCUUCGGGAGGCAGCAGUGGGGAAUAUUGCACAAUGGGCGGAAGCCUGAUGCAGCAACGCCGCGUGCGGGAUGACGGCCUUCGGGUUGUAAACCGCUUUCGCCUGUGACGAAGCGUGAGUGACGGUAAUGGGUAAAGAAGCACCGGCUAACUACGU
rnacentral:rRNA from 1 species